rnacentral:rRNA from 1 species
GACGAACGCUGGCGGCGUGCUUAACACAUGCAAGUCGAGCGGAAAGGCCCUUCGGGGUACUCGAGCGGCGAACGGGUGAGUAACACGUGAGUAAUCUGCCCCUGGCUUCGGGAUAGCCACCGGAAACGGUGAUUAAUACCGGAUAUGACCACUUUACGCAUGUUUGGUGGUGGAAAGUUUUUCGGCCAGGGAUGUGCUCGCGGCCUAUCAGCUUGAUGGUGAGGUAAUGGCUCACCAUGGCUUCGACGGGUAGCCGGCCUGAGAGGGUGACCGGUCACACUGGGACUGAGACACGGCCCAGACUCCUACGGGAGGCAGCAGUGGGGAAUAUUGGACAAUGGGCGGAAGCCUGAUCCAGCAACGCCGCGUGAGGGAUGACGGCCUUCGGGUUGUAAACCUCUUUCAGUACCGACGAAGCGCAAGUGACGGUAGGUACAGAAGAAGCACCGGCCAACUACGUGCCAGCAGCCGCGGUAA